rnacentral:rRNA from 1 species
CCUACGGGAGGCAGCAGUAGGGAAUCUUGCGCAAUGGGCGAAAGCCUGACGCAGCAACGCCGCGUGAUUGAUUAAGCCCUUCGGGCCGUAAAGACCUGUCAGUGGGGACGAAACUUGAUGGGAGUCACUGAUCAAGUAUCGGCUAACUCUGUGCCAGCAGCCGCGGCAAUACGUAGGUGGCAAGCGUUGUUCGGAAUUAUUGGGCGGAAAGGGUACGUAGGUGGUAUGUUAAGUCUGAUGUGAAAUGCAGAGGCUUAACUUCUGUAGGGCACUGGAUACUGGGAGACUUGAGUGCAGAAGAGGAGAGGGGAAUUCCAGGUGUAGCGGUGAAAUGCGUAGAUAUAUGGAAGAACAUCAGUGGCGAAAGCGCUUUUCUGGGCUGUAAUUGACGCUGAGGUUCGAAAGCCUGGGUAGCAAAUAGGAUUAGAUACCCUAGUAGUC